AGGGGGAGGGGGUGGUGACCCCACUCUUCCACCCCUAGUUCUGUCUUGCUCGUAGCCCGGCAGAGGGAGGCUGGGUCUGCCUUGGGGUUCUGAGGAACACCCUACACCCUUCUCCUAAAGUUUAUCAACCUCCCCUCACUACCCCCUUAGUCUACUCCCCUCCCCACUCUCUUCGUCCCUAGGGAAGCGCAGUUCCGCGCUCCCGCCGGUUCAGCUGGAUCAAUAACCAAAGUGCGCGAGGAAGGCGACCCAGGCGAGAUUGAGCAGAGAACUGGAGAAAACCACCUCUGAAAAAUACUCCCUAUGACGAAGCGCUUUUAUGAAGAAGACUCCGCGGCCUUGUGCUCUGUUGUCUGUGCUCUGUUCCGGUGGCUUACAAAACAAAGCAACUGCGAACCCACGCGUCCAGCGAGUGUGUGAGAUCCUCAGCCCCAUCUCUGGAAGCUCCACGUUCUGGUCUCAUCUCGAACGCCUUAUCCACUUCCACUUUAAAAAUAGGAAUGAAUUCGCGCUGCCUGCUUUCUUCCAGCCUUUUCAGUCUUCGCUUUGGCACUUGCACAAGAUGAACCGUUCCCUGCUUUUUCUUCCUAUCUCCUCGUUGUUGGCCAGCCACGACGAAAGUGCCUGCAGCUUCACAGUGUCGCCAGCUGAACGUGUUACGGAAGAUUUUGAUCUCUGUGAGGCCGGUGAAACUCUUCUGCAAACAGUUCAACAAAACGCACCGAACAGUGCAAAGGAAUUUUCUCUCUCCGUUUCCCUGGCAUCUAUGGCCUCCGUGUGGAAUAAAUCAUGGAAUGUGACACUAUCUGUGUAAAAAUAAUCGCAACCCACUGUCCAUUCUUCUGUGCAUCCUGUACACGCAUCAUGGUAGAGUUGGGAGGACAGCUGAGCGAGACACGCUCUUCCCGAAAGAGGUAAAGAGUGUGAGACUGAGCCUAGAGCGGUUUUAAGUACCGAGUCUUCAUCAAUUACUUGAGUUCUCUCCCUGCUCUCCCUUUUAAAGAGUUCUUGGUUCCACAAGGAGAAUAAACUUGGAGAUGUUGUGGGCUACGAAUUGGAUGCUCCACCUGGAAAUCCCGCCAUGGGUGUAUGAUUUAAGGAAAAUUUAAAAAGCAGACGGACGGAUAGAUGAGCACUCUUAGGGUCUCUAAGUGGAGGUGGCCCCACUCUAAUCGCCACCUCCAGCUUUCCCGAGCUCUGUCUUUCCUCCCUCAGAGGAUCUGCUUCUCCCAUCCCCUGCCUCAACCUUUGGCUUUCCCUCCCCGAUGUUGAGGCCUGGGGAACUGGAUCCCAGAUGCUUGGUUUCUCCGAAACCCGGUCCAUCCAGAAUGGAUCAGGCUGAUUUUCUCGGGGAAAGGACCACGGAUUCGGUUCUGCCGGGGCGAAAUUUGCAAAUUUGCUGGGGAGAUGGGGCCGGGUAGGAGUAGGGUGGGUAUGAAGAUGGCUGGAAGGGAAGGAGAAGAAAGGAGGCCGGCGAGAAGUAGAAGACCCGGAGACCGGGUGCAAGGAAGCCAAGAAGGUGGAGUGGAGCUGGGGGAAAGGGGGGGCGGGUGGAGUGGGAAGGGGCGGGGCCGGAAAUUGGGAGGCCGCGCGCCACCCAAACAAACAAAGCGCGAUAGGGGCUCCACCCAGGGCGCGCGGCUUUCCCCCAACUGUCUCCCGAAUUCUUGCUUUUGGUAGGCAGGCGGGUUGGUCUUGGUAGGGACCUGCGUGUUGCUCUUGUGGAAAUCAGUCUAAAGGGACUGAUCACAGGAGAAAAGCCACGCAACCAAUGGACGUUCGGCUCUGCCUAACUGGAUUCGGGUCGCCCACGAGAAGUUCACGGGUGGUGGACAAGAGAGCUCUUUCUUGCACUUUGGUUCAUGUGGAUUCGGUGGCUGUGGCUUUGCUCCGAAGGAUGCUGGGAAUGCCAUUCUAGGCCCCCCAGUCUUAAGGGCCGGUCGAGGAGCCCGAAAUUUCUGCAUUAGAAACGCUUUCCUCUGGCCGAAAAUACCGUAUUCUGUUUUUAAAUCGUAUUCUCCAAUUUAAAUCUGCUUUUCCAACCUUUGCCCGAUGUUCUUACGACUAGAAAAACAAUAGAAAUGAAAACAGGAAAAAAAAAAACCCUUGGUUUCCCGCAAAGACUCUUUUCAAUGGUUUUUUUUAUGUGCAUCCUUAUUUUGCAUAAUUUGAGUCCUAGUGAAGUGCAGUUCUGUAUUCAGCCUUUUUAAUUUGAGUUCACACCUAAAUAUUUGCCGUGUGCUAUGAUUCUCAAAAGUAUACUUUUCAACGGCCGAUUAAUAUCCUAUGCUUCAUUGUAUAAUUUCUUUGACCGUUCAAUUGUCAGUUAUUCCAGUUCUUGAGCAUUAAAAUAAUGCACAAACCAAAA